rnacentral:rRNA from 1 species
GACGAACCGUGCGAACGUUAUUCGGAAUCACUGGGCUUAAAGCGCGUGUAGGCGGGUCGGCACGUCCGAUGCUGAAAUCCCCCGGCUCAACCGGGGAACGGGCAGGGAUACGACCGACCUGGAGGGGCGUAGGGGGAUCGGGAACUUCCGGUGGAGCGGUGAAAUGCGUUGAGAUCGGAAGGAACGCCCGUGGCGAAAGCGCGGUCCUGGACGCCAUCUGACGCUGAGACGCGAAAGCCAGGGGAGCGAACGGG